rnacentral:lncRNA from 1 species
AUCUCUAUGGGUCUCUAUGGGUCUCUAUGGGUCUCUAUGGGUCUCUAUGGGUCUCUAUGGGUCCCUAUGGGUCUCUAUGGGUCUCUAUGGGUCUCUAUGGGUCCCUAUGGGUCUCUUUGGGUCUCUAUGGGACACUAUGGGGCAGUUAUGGGUCCCUAUGGGUCUCUAUGGGUCUCUAUGGGUCCCUAAGGCUCUCUAUGGGUCCCUAUGGGUCUCUAUGGGUCCCUAUGGGGCAGCUAUGGGGCUCUAUGGGUCACUAUGGGUCUCUAUGGGGCACUAUGGGUACCUAUGGGGCAGCUUAUGGGGCACUAUGGGUCUCUAUGUGUCCCUUUGGAUGACUAUGGGUCUCUAUGGGUCACUAUGGGGCAGCUAUGGGUCUCUAUGGGUCUCUACAGGGCAGCUAUGGGGCAGCAAUGGGUCUCUAUGGGGCUCUAUUGGGCUCUAUGGGUCCCUAUGGGUCUCUGUGGGUCAAUAUGGGGCAGCUAUGGGUCUCUAUGGGGCAGAUAUGGGGCUCUAUGGGGCUCUAUUGGGCUCUGUGUGUCCCUAUGGGUCCCUAUGGGUCCCUAUGGGUCCCUAUGGGGCUCUAUGGGGCUCUAUGGGUCCCUCUGGGUCUCUACAGGGCAGCUAUGGGGCAGAUAUGGGUCUCAUUCUUUGCUAUGGGGCAGCUAUGGGACUCUAUGGGUCUCUUUGGUUGUUAUGGGGCAGCUAUGGGUCCCUAUGGGUCCCUAUGGGUCCCUAUGGGGCUCUAUGGGUCUCUAUGGGACACUAUGGGGCUCUAUGGGGUUCUAUGGGUCUCUAUGGAUCCCUAAGGGUCUCUAUGGAUCCCUAUGGGUCGCUAUGGGGCAGCUAUGGGUCUCUAUGGGUCCCUAUGGGGCAGCUAUGGAUCCCUAUGUGUCUCUGUGGGUCUCUAUGAGUCGCUAUGGGGCUGC